rnacentral:lncRNA from 1 species
CUACAGCAAGAAAUGCAAGGGCCUGGAGAACGUCGUCAAGUGGAACGUCAUCAAGGCGCUCAAGGCCAACCGCCGCACCGGCGCCGCGCUCAUCCGCCUCCUCUUCCAUGAUUGCUUCGUCAGGGUAGGCACACUUGCAUGAUGCAUAUAUGCCAUUCAUCACAUGCUGAUCUCACCUAAACUAGCUAGUUCAAUUAUGUGUGGUGAAAUGUACGUAGUCAGUAACUAUACAUACAAAAUUAGACCUGAAAGUUAAUGAGGUGUAAUAGUUUCCAUAACCAUGGCACCAUGCAGGGUUGCGAUGGCUCUGUCCUCCUGGACGCGUCCUACGCCAACCCUCACCCGGAGAAGGAGGCGCCGGUGAACAUCGGCCUCGCCGCGUUCGACCUCCUGGAGGAGAUCAAGGCUGCCGUGGAGAAGAGGUGCCCCGGCGUCGUCUCCUGCUCCGACCUCCUCAUCUACGCCGCCCGCGACGCGGCCAGCAUCCUCAGCAACGGCCACGUCCACUUCGACGUCCCGGCCGGCCGCCUCGAUGGCUUCGUCUCUAAGGCCGAAGAAGCCCAGGCGGAGCUCCCAGAUUCCGCCCAUGACGCGCAGAAGCUCAUCGACAACUUCGCCAGGAAGAACUUCACCGUCGAGGAGCUCGUCAUCCUCUCCGGCGCGCACUCCAUCGGCCAGGGCCACUGCUCGUCCUUCACCGGCCGCCUCUCUGAGCCAGCGAACCAGAUCACCCCGGCCUACCGCAACCUGCUCAACUACAAGUGCCCCCAGGGCUCCAACCCGACCGUGGACAACAACGUCCGCGACGAGGACUACGACGUCGUGGCGAGGUUCAUGCCGGGGUUCACCAGCCGUGUUCGCAAGAUCCCCGACUUCCUUGACAACUCGUACUACCACAACAACCUCGCCAAGAUCGUUACCUUCCACUCCGACUGGACUCUGCUGACGCACAAAGAGGCGAUCGGUCACGUCAAGGAGUACGCCGAGAACGGCACGCUCUGGGACGAGGACUUCGCCGAUUCGCUGGUGAAGCUCAGCAAGCUUCCCAUGCCGGCGGGGAGCAAGGGAGAGAUCAGGAAGAAGUGCAGCGUCAUCAACCACCGCCUGUACUAAGCCGGGUGCCAAAUCCACAUGCAGGUAGUUCGAAGAAGAGGCCCUUGCGAUGCCAGCCAGCACAAUGUUGACAUCAAGUUGAGCCAUAAACUUGCAUUGUGGUUUUUCUUCGUUCCAUUCAUUCUUUUGGUUUGCAUUGGUUGUACUCCCUCCGUUCCAAUUUGUAGGUCGUUUUAACUUUUCUAGGUUAUAUUAUUCUGCAUAAUAUCUAGGUGCAUAAUAAUAUAUAUGAACUAUAAAAUCUAAAACGACCUACAAUUUGGAAUGGAGGAAAUACCUUGUUUUCCCUUUGUGUAUUUCUCAUAUAUGUCAAACAGUUGUGUACAUGUCUCACUGCAAUAAACUAUAAUAUUCG